GCCCGAGUGGCGGAAUGGCAGACGCGACGGACUCAAAAUCCGUUGUCUGAAAGGGCGUGUGGGUUCGACUCCCACCUCGGGCACCA
rnacentral:tRNA from 5 species